CCCAUUCUCCUGUUACAAACACACCAUGUCAAAUAUUUUUCGAGUCAAUAUGUUUUAAUAAGUGCUCUUUAUUUAUUGGGGCUACAAUACUACAGUUGAAAUUGUUUGCAGACUUCAUUGAUUUUGACUGGAGGUCCCUGGAAGGCAUGGUGGUUCCUGCCUCAGCAGAAACUUGUGUGGCAAUAGGAGUGGAGGCCAGAGAGUCCUUAGGUCAGUCCCAAAUUCCCUGGGAAAAAAAGGGUUAACUGUCCCUGCAUUGAAUUAACUGUGGGGAUAAAACAUUUGUGAAUACCAUGUACACACAUAAAAUUGCCCCUAAACAAAUUAUUCUGGAGAUACGUUAUUCUAGCAAAUGGUCAUUCGCACAACGCACACAGCACAGCUGUCCUUUCUGGGUUCGUAUGAUUCAGAAGGUCCCAGCUGAAUCGUGACAGCAGGUGCAUAAGUGGCCUCGAGCUUUUUCCUCAUUAUUUCCAGCAAACCCCGUCUCUGUCUACUUACCUCCUUCCUUAACAGCCUUUUCCUAACCAAUUCUUUCUGCUCCCCUAGAAAUAUUACAUUCUGCAAAUGCGAAAGGAAAAGAAAUGGGUAUCUGCUCAGUGCCGAUUUCAGAGAGUAUCUACAAAGCUUUUCUCUUUUGCACAGAUACUGCACUGAAGACUCGGAGGGGUUGAGCCGCUGGAGCCACGCAAAUUCAGACACCUCUUCCGCCCCAGGUCACUCUACUCGCCCACGCUGCCUGCCACACCCAUCCGGUUGUGCGGGACACUCCCCGCGUUUCUUCAGCGAUUCUUAUCGGGCUCCCUCCUUGUUCAAUAAAGGUGAAGGGUGUGGGGUUUUCUGUGCAUACGCUCAGGAAGUUGAGUCCCGGUGAAACGUGUCAGGUUGCCAUUUCCCAGGCUGGAAAGAUUUUCCCAGGACGGGUAUGAAUAGACGAUGAAAGUGCACACUCUUACCCGGCUGCCCGACCCAGGUGCCAGGCUUCUGACUCAGGACCAUCUGUGGGUGCGAGUGCAGGGAGGUGUCAUUUCUGAGCAGGGAAGGUGUGAUCUGGGGCCAGAAUGAAUGGCCCUGGUGACUUCUUACCUGAUUCAUCCCACACCAGUCAGAAGGGGCUGUGAAGGCAGCAGCGAAGGAGCCACACAUGGACGUGGAAUGGGCACGCUGACCAUCAUGGUCACGACUGCAAGAAAGCAGGGCUGCGUGGGUUAAUUGGCUGUGUCUGAGGGUCACCCCUGCACAAGGAGGAUGAUGACGACUGCCCUGUGCAACCCUGGGUCAUCUCAGGGGAGAGCCAUUCCCAGGUUCACAGCAAGCACUCUUUUACUCAGAUGGGCCACCUGCAUCAGGCCCCAAGGAAGCACUUAUUAGUAGAAGAAAAAAAACAAAAACCCAGAAAACAGCCAGUGAGACUAUUUUACAAACAAGCGAAGAGCAGCAACUGAAAGCAACAAUAACUACAACAUAAAUCCCUCUGCAAAUAUUUGGGAUUUCAUUUCCACUAAGGAUAAUGAUGGCGUAGAAGGCAUGUCUGUGGGAGUUAUGCACACAGGGAAAAAGGUGGUGAAAAUAAUCAACCAAAAAUAACAAAAUUCAAUUAAUCAAAACAGAACAAAAUAAAAUGAGCCAAACAGCAUAUCUGAAUAUAAGCAUAAUAAUUGUCGUUGGACAAACCUUUGUCAAAUCAAAUUGGCUUCUAGCACACGGGCUGAUACUUUGUGAUUCAAGUGGUGUUCUACCCACAUAAUUCAUUUAGUUGCAAAGAAUGUAACAAAUAAUGCAAUUAUUCCAGAGGAUCACGGUGAGACAUCUAUUUGGUGGUGCCUUAAGCAGAGUGCCCUGAUUCAGAAGAAUUAGACCAAUCUCUGGAUUCACAGCCACUCAUGAAAACUGUAGGCCGGGCACGGUGGCUCAUGCCUGUAAUCCCAGCACUUUGGGAGGCCAAG
rnacentral:lncRNA from 1 species